rnacentral:tRNA from 1 species
UCCCUGAUGGUCCAGUGGUUACAACUCUGCACUUAAACUGCAGGGUGGGGUGUGGGUUUGAUCCCUGUUCAGGGAA